UGCCAGCCGCCGCGGUAAUACGAAGGGUGCGAGCGUUAAUCGGAAUUACUGGGCGUAAAGCGCGCGUAGGCGGCUUUGUAAGUCGGAUGUGAAAUCCCCGGGCUUGACCUGGGAACUGCAUUCGAUACUGCAGAACUAGAGUAUGGUAGAGGGAAGUGGAAUUUCCGGUGUAGCGGUGAAAUGCGUAGAUAUCGGAAGGAACACCAGUGGCGAAGGCGACUUCCUGGCUCGAUACUGACGCUGAGAUGCGAAAGCGUGGGGAGCAAACAGGAUUAGAUA
rnacentral:rRNA from 1 species